rnacentral:rRNA from 1 species
GGUAGGAGAAGGCUCUGGAAAGUGCCGCCAUAGUGGGUGAUAGCCCCGUAUCCGAAACCUGAGUCUGGUGAAAUCGAGUAGGACGGGACACGUGAUAUCCUGUCUGAACAUGGGGGGACCAUCCUCCAAGGCUAAAUACUCCUGACUGACCGAUAGUGAACCAGUACCGUGAGGGAAAGGCGAAAAGAACCCCGGUGAGGGGAGUGAAAUAGAUCCUGAAACCGCGUACGUACAAGCAGUAGGAGCCUCUUUUAUGGGGUGACUGCGUACCUUUUGUAUAAUGGGUCAGCGAGUUAUUGUUAGUAGCAAGGUUAACCGUUUAGGGGAGCCGUAGG